rnacentral:rRNA from 1 species
GACGAACGCUGGCGGCGUGCCUAAUACAUGCAAGUCGAACGCAGGGGGGACGGGGGAGUAACACGUGGGUAACCUCCCAUCAGAGGGGAUAACCCUUGGAAACAGGUGCUAAACCGAUACGGGUGUAUGGACCAGCGGGGCAUUAGCUAGUUGGUGGGGUAACGUCCCACCAAGGCCACGAUGCAUAGCUGGGCUGAGAGGAUGAUCGGCCACACUGGGACUGAGACACGGCCCAGACUCCUACGGGAGGCAGCAGUAGGGAAUCUUCGGCAAUGGGCGAAAGCCUGACCGAGCAACGCCGCGUGUGUGAAGAAGGCUUUCGGAGCGUAAAGCUCUGUUGGUAGAGAAGCGGUAUCUAAACAGGAAGCCCCGGCUAACUACGUGCCAGCAGCCGCGGUAAUAC